CUCGGAUUGGGGGAGGGGAUUCUUCGGGCGCACCGCCCUCCCGACGCGCUGCGCAGCAGCGCGCGCUGUGCUAGGCUGUUGCUCCCGCUGGAGUGUAGUUUCCUCUAGUACCCCCGCCCCCCGCACCCGGUUGGCCGCUGGGAACUCGGUAGGGACGCCAGGUCUGGAUCAAGGUUUGCUGCGGUACUCCUCCUACCUAUACCUGGAGAAGCAUGCCUUGGCUGGUUCUCAAUCCCAGAAUGCUGAGAGACACAUGUAGCAGAGCCACUGCAGCUGGCCCAGGAACCUGAAGUAAGAAGCAGAUCCAGCCAGGGCCACAACACUGAAGCCUUCAAGCAGGAUGGGUUUAUGGAAGAAACAGAGAAAAAUCUAAUUUGUUACCAAGAACUUCGUAAGGCAACAGACAUAAAACUAUUGUGGCCUUACCCAAAUGAAUGCCUUACCUCUGUUGAGUUUUAUUAUAGCCAUUCAUUUAUAUAUGACUGAAACAAUAUGCUGUACAGCAGAAACUGACAAUACUGUAAAUCAAUUAUACAAAAUUAAUUUUUAAUUUUAUAAAAACCUAAUAAACCAAAAAAGAAAAUAAAUCUCACAUUUAAUUUGAUAAUUUCUUCUUUCUGAAAAUAAUAAAGUAUUCUCAAGACCUUACCUGAAGCUAAGGAGGGUAAAUCACUGUCUUAGUCACACCAAAGUUUUGUAGAAAAUUUACUCAAAUAGUUUUCAUGCGGCAAGCUAUUUAGAUCUUACUGAUGAGACAAAUCACACAAGUGUAAAAGAAAAGAAAACUUUUUUUAAAAAAAGACCAUGAGAAAAGCAUUAUUUUGUGCUAUUUAGAGAAGCUUGGGAGCUUUUCUUUUCCUUUGGUAAAUGCCACAAAGGAGAUGUUUCUCAUGAAAAUUUAACUGAUAGACAGAUUGUAACAUGAAGAAGGAUGGCCUCUGGGAAUACUUAUGGGAGAGAGCUUGGAGCCAGGACCAGUAAUUAUGAGACACCAAGGAAAAAAGCAGAGGUUGCAUAGAUGUAAAAUAUUCAAAAAAUGAUCAUGGAAAAUGAGAAGAAGAGAAAGAGCAAAUGCUUUAAAUAAAAGCAGUUCUCAUUAUAUAAAACCUGACAACAUUCACAUCUGGUAUAACAGAAAAUAUACUUGAUUUGAAUGUAUCCUUGAAAUAUAUUGAAGAAAAAUUGGAUACAUGCAUAAAACUAUGUUGGACAGAGAGAACUGGAAUUUGAAUCUUGGACCUACAUUUCCAAUUUGAGUGACCUUGAGCAAUUUUCUACAGCUUCAAAUUUAUUACUUGCAAAAUGGAACUCAUGAAAUAACAUAUGCAGACAUGCAUAACAUAUAUAGUAAGUGUUUAAAAUGUAUUAAUUGAAUCUAAAUAAUACAACCAGUUCUACACUAGAGGCAAGCGUGCCUAUUAUGGCCAAUAGAACUUGAAACAUAAGGCUCAGACCUCAGAUUUCUCAGGACCAAUCACUUGACAAGUAUCAGGAAAUAUGAUAGAUUUCUAUUAUUAUAGAUAGAGCUGAAAUACAUGGAGUGAGGCACUGAGUGUUAAAGGGAAUGAGUGUUAGGUUGUAGGAGUGAAGAAUAAAAAGACCUAGUGGAUGCAAAUUCUCUCAAUCAAAUUUAAGCUUCAGAUACAUGUGACUGAGUGACACCACAAUAAGAACAAGAUUUAGGGUCAGAUUUGCUUUCAGAUCUUGACUUUGCUUGUGUGACUUUUGUCUAGCAUUUCCAACCCUCAGAUUCCCAAUCCAUAGAAUGAGAACAAAAAUACUUACUUUUUGAUGCCUUUUAAGGAUUACAGAUGGUUUAUGAAAAAUGCCUAGCAGUUGGUAUAUAUAUGAUACAGGGAAGCUAUUGUUACUUAAAAGGCCAUGGCUCCUUCAGAGCAGAAACUGAACUUCAUGAAUCUUUAUAUCUUUCAUUGUGCUAAACACAAUGCCUGUCAUAUAUUAGGUAUAAUAAAUCUUCAUUGCAUGGAUGAAUAACCAAAACAUGCUCAUGCCUUUUGCACUAAUUGCCAUCAGAUGGAGCUUUUGCCUAAUUUGAGAGGUUUGUUUUGCCUUUAAAAGACCAACAGCAUCACCUUUGACUUCAUAUCAUAUCUCCAAAACAGAAGAAGUACAAUAGACAUAAAUUGACUGUCUGGGGUGCUUCCCUAUUAGCAGCACAUUCAGAUUCCACCUAAAUGAUUGGUUAUACUUCUGGUUUUAGACUCAGUCCUGUAUUCAUUUCCCAGCUCCACCAUGUCUGACAAGUCACUUUGGUAAAAGUUAGUUACCCCUUUGAACUUAAUUUCCUCAUUCAUAAAUAAUGACCUUAAUCGAUGUAAAAAUUAAAUGAGACAGCAUAUGUAUAAUGCCAGACAUAUAAUAGGCAGCACAAAAUUUGAAACUGAACAUAUGACUCCAAAGUUCAGGCUCCUUAUAUUACGUUUGAUUUCCAAAGGAUUUUAGGCUCCUUAAAGAAAGGAACUAUGUCUUACUCAGAAACACUUUGCAUAUAACUUGGUGCCAAGCAUAAUGCAGGGCGAAGAGUAGUAUGUAAUCAAUACUUAUGGGGCUGAAUUGCUUCCAACUGUUAGCCAUACUCUAAGUGAAUCAAGAACAUUUCUUUAGGAAAAUGUGCCUUUGGACACAAGGAACCAUAAUUGAUUCACAAAAACAAGGAAUACCAAGGAAAAUUUCUUUCCCUUCUUAAAGUUAUUAGACUGGUUGUUUGGAGGAAAAGAAAAAUAUAGACAUCACAUCCUUUCAUUUUAAUACAUCUUUAGGCAGUUAAACACUUGAUACUUUUACAUGCAAGUAAUAGAAAACCCAAAUCAAAUUGACUACAAAAGUAAGCUUAUUGUCUUAUAUGCUUGGAAGUGUGUGUCAGAAUUGGUUGAUCCAGCAGUUCAACAAUGUGAUCAAAGAUCCAGCUAUUUUCUGUCUCUCUAUUUUGAUAACAGUGUCAGCUUUAUACUGGAUGUAAGUUGUUCAGUAGUAGAAAAUAGGAUACGUGAUUAAUUUCUGGAAAGAGAAAAUCAAAGAGAACAUGUCACUCCCAAGCAUCGUACUUAAUUUUCUCUUCACAGUGUUCCUAGUUCUUAAGCAGUAAUUGUCAUCAGUGAAAUGCAGUGCAUUGAUAAGCUUAGGUUAGGGAUCCUGGCAAGGGAUAUGGUAGUAUGAUUGGAGUUAAGGUCAAUUCCUCAAACAUUAUUGCUUCUACAAAGUGGUGGGAGUAAAAUGGAGAAAGAAGGAAGGGGAUUCAGUUACCAUGUCCCCAGAAAACAUUAUUAUGUUUACCAAGAAGAUGUAAAAGUUUGGCCUGGAUGACAGAGUUGAGUUGAUUAGUAGCUGAUUAAGUAGCUACAUGGUUAACAAAUUAGAGAGAGAAGUGACAUGUCACAUACUCCACAAAUUUCCCCUUAUAUUACAUUGUCAGCUCAGAUUGGGUUAGGUUUUUCUCUACUGUGCUUUUGAAAAAAAUAGGUGUCAUUUCAUGUACAUACAGUAUAUUAAUUAUAUAAGUAUAUUCCAAUCCAACUGUGAAGUUGUUGAAAGCAGGAACUGUGUCUUACCCAUCUUUCCAGCCUCAAGACAGCACAGAAGCUGGCAAAUAUAAAAAGCUCUAUUUUCAAAUAUUAGUUAAAGAGCAAACAAUGGGUAAAAUUUCAGGAAGGGAGAUUUCAAAUCCUCACGUGGUGAAAAAAAAAACUUCCUUAUAAGAAAUGUAUUAUAUAAAUUACUAAUAAUCAUCAAUAAUUUAACCAUAAAGAAGAUUAAAGUUGAAUUAAAAUGCAUUUGAAGUCCCUUUUUAGUCUGGAAUUUGAUGAUUUUCUGAGUUCACUGAUGGAGAUCACAAUAUAUACUCCAUGAUUAUGGCCCAGAUGGGACCCAAAGAGAAAUCAGGACAUUCUGGGUGGUUGGAAGUUGCUCGAGUCAACUGUUUGAUUCAUGAAAAUUCAAACGUUUUUCCAGGGCCAUGAUUUCUAAGAAGGGAGAACAUUCCAUUCUUCAUGCCAGCUGUGAUGCCCAGUUCUUGCUGAUUGUCAUCUGAUAUGGACUUGGCAUUCUCUACCUGGUUAUGGGCCAGAUGCCAAAAAUAAAUAAAUAAAUAAAUAACCAAAACUGAAGGAAGCUCAUGAACCAACAUAGUGCCAGAAAUGGGGGAGGAAGCUUCUUUUUCUUUUUUGUCUUUUUAGGGCCACAUCCUUGGCCCCACACGUGAGGUGAUUCAGAGCUGCACCAGCUGGCCUAUACCACAACCACAGAAGCACCAGAUCUGAGCCAUAUCUGUGACCUACAUUGUGGCUCGUGGCAACACUGCCAGAUCCUUAACCCACUGAGUGGUGAGGCUAAGGAUCGAAACCAUGUCCUCGUGUAUACUAGUUGUGUUUGUUACCACUGACACAGAGUGGGAACUCUGGGGGAGGAAUUUCUUAACAGCUGGAGUAAUCAUUAGCUCAGACAAUCUCUGUUUUGUUUUGUUUGUUUAAAACAUGAUUUUUUAAGAUAAAUACUGUUGGAAUAUACUUAACUUACAAUCUUAUAUUGCUUUCAGGCAUACAGUACAGUAAAUCAGUUAUACAUAAUAUCCAUUCCUUUUCAGAUUAUUUUCCUAUAUAAAUUACUACAUAGUACUGAGUAAAUUGCUCUGUGCUAUAGAGUAGGUUCUUGUUACCUAUCUAUUUUAAAUAUAGUAGUGUAUACAUGUCAAUCCCAACCCCCUAGUUUAUCCCUCCUCCUAUGUUUCCCCUUUGGUAACUAUAAAUUUGGUUUCAAAUUCUUUGAUUAUGUUUCUGUUCUCUAAGGUCUUUGGUAUCAUUUUUAUUAUAUUCCACAUGUUGGUGUUCUCAUGAUAUUUGUCUUUCUCUGUCUUACUUCAUUUAGCAUGAUAAUCUCUAGGUCCAUACAUGUUGCUUCAAAUGU